AGGCGGCGGGCACGGACGGCAGGCACAGCGCAGCACUCCCCGCUCGUUGGCCCGGGUAUCCCAGCGCGGACCCACGCGAUACGCUGACGCCCCGACGCCGAUCCGGCCGAGCCAAGUAAGGGGGGCGGCCCGGGACGGAGAAGGGAGAGAGUGGGAGUUUCCCAGCCCGCAGAACUUUCGAAGUUGAGAAAAGAACCCCUGGAACGUGCGCUCAUCACUGGGAUUUUCUGGACCCAACGAUGACUCUGAAUAAUGUCACCAUGCGCCAGGGCACUGUGGGCAUGCAGCCACAGCAGCAGCGCUGGAGCAUCCCAGCCGAUGGCAGGCAUCUGAUGGUCCAGAAAGAGCCCCACCAGUACAGCCACCGCAACCGCCAUUCUGCUACCCCUGAGGACCACUGCCGCCGAAGCUGGUCCUCUGACUCCACAGACUCAGUCAUCUCCUCUGAGUCAGGGAACACCUACUACCGAGUGGUGCUCAUAGGGGAGCAGGGGGUGGGCAAGUCCACUCUGGCCAACAUCUUUGCAGGUGUGCAUGACAGCAUGGACAGCGACUGCGAGGUGCUGGGAGGUAGGUGUCCCAGCCCCAGUGGGCUUCUUUCCAUCAGGGGUGGCCCAGGAAGAAAGAGCAAGGGUGGAUGACUUAUAUACCUGCAGAGUUGGGAGCUGAAGUUAGGCAUUUUGGACAAUUGAUGGGGGAGCUGAGUCUCCAGAAAAGCCCAAGCACAGGCUCUCGGGGCAA
rnacentral:sRNA from 1 species